rnacentral:rRNA from 1 species
GCACAAGCAGUGAGUAUGUGGUUUAAUUCGAAGCAACGCGAAGAACCUUUACCAGGGCUUGACAUCCCUUGAAGCAGCUAGAGAUAGCUGUGUCCUUCGGGACAAGGAGACAGGUGGUGCAUGGUUGUCGUCAGCUCGUGUCGUGAGAUGUUGGGUUAAGUCCCGCAACGAGCGCAACCCCUGUGGUUAGUUGCCAGCAAGUAGCGUUGGGCACUCUAGCCAGACUGCCGGUGAUAAAUCGGAGGAAGGUGGGGACGACGUCAAAUCAUCAUGCCCUUUAUGUCCUGGGCUACACACGUACUACAAUGGCCGUUACAACGGGAAGCGAAGGAGCAAUCCGGAGCAAAUCCCUUAAAGGCGGUCCCAGUUCAGAUUGUGGGCUGAAACUCGCCCACAUGAAGGCGGAAUUGCUAGUAAUUGCAGAUCAGCAUGCUGCCAAGUCCGAAUACGUUCCGGCCUU